rnacentral:lncRNA from 1 species
UUUUUUUUUUUUUUCAGAGAGAGAGUCUCACUCUGUGGCCCAAGCUGGAGUGCAGUGGCACUAUCUCAGCUCACUGCAACCUCUGCCUUCCAGGUUGAAGCAAUUCUCUUGCCUCGCCUCCCAAAUAGCUGGGAUUACAGGCGUGCACCACCAUGCCCAGCUAAUUUUUGUAUUUUUAGUAGAGACAGGGUUUCACCAUGUUGGUCAGGCUGGUCUUGAACUCCUAGGCUCAAGUGAUCUGCUCGCCUUGGCCUCCCAAAGUGCUGGGAUUACAGGCGUGAGCCACCGUAUCUGACCAGAAAUUUAUUUCUCAAAGUUCUGGAGGCUGGAAAUCCAAAAUCAGAAUCAAGUUCUGGGAGGGGCCUUCUUCUUCCUUCAGAUGGCCAGCUUCUCAUUGUAUCCUCAGCUGGCGGAGCACAGAGAGAAGAGGCAAGCAAGAAGCAGCAAGCUCUCUCAGGACUCUGGUUUUAGAGACCAGGUCUUGCUCUGUCACCCUGGCUGGAGUGCAGUAGCACAAAUAGCUCACUGCAACCUCCAACGCCUGGCCUCAAGCAAUCCUCCUGCGUUGGGCUCCUGAAAUGCUGGUAUUACAGGUAUGAGCCACCAUGCCUAGCCCCGUUCAUGAAUGAAGGCACUAAUCUCAUUCAUGAGGGCUCCAAUGACCUCAUCUAAUCCUAGUUACCUCCAAAAGCCCCACCUCCUAAUAUCAUCACUUUGAGGGGUAGGGUUUCAACGUACGCAUUUAGUUGGGGAAACUUAGUGUACAGCAGGGACCAAACACAUCAUGUCAAGAGAAGCAAGAGACAAAUACUUCGAAACUGGCCUUGAUCCUUAGAAUAUCAUCUGGUUACUCUUAAAUAAGGGCUCUCCAAAUGCUGCCUCUGUAGAUCAAAGCCAAAGAACCCAACUCAUCAAGAGUGGCUGCAAAAGGCACAGCCCACACAGUCUGAGCACUAGAGAGGAUCCCUAGGCAUCCCCUAGAUUCCAGGCCAAAGGCCCUCAUCACCUAUUUGGUGACAGACUCAAGUAUGAGCUUAUGGAUUUUGAAAUGGAAAGCAGCUGGUUCGGGAAGGAGUCCUUUGCACAUAGAGGUGCCCAAUAAAUGCUGGAUGCUGGGAAACUAAUAUACUCCAAAGGAGGCCAAUGUUCUGUAAUUUGAGGAGAGGAGGCUGAGUAGGAGUAGGGGGUCUUGCUACUUCAGUCAAGGUAACCCGGAAGCCUACUCUGCACCCCUACCAAACUGGAGGUGGGAGGACAGGUUACCAUUAGGUCAGAUCAGCCUCCUAAGCUGGUGUGAACCAUUCUCAGGCCACCGCUGAGCCUACCUAGGCUCUGGUCUUGUCUAGACACUUCCUCUCCAGCUGAGGCUGGGAAGCAGGUGUAGUCACUCACAGCCUCACUCUUCACGGUGCUGCCAUUAGGACCCUGAUUAGUAGAGCCCCAUGCCGGGUUGCUAAUGGGUUGAGGACAUUAAGCAUAAAUGCUUUCCCAGAUAUGGGCUUGAGCAGAGCCCAGGAAGAAACAAAUAUUUUAAUCUCAAAUAAAUAGAAUGUCGGCGGGGAGGGGUUCCCUCUGCUUACUUGGCAUCUGUUGUCCUCCCAUCC